ACUAGCCAAUAGAUGGAUGCGGAAUGCGAUUCCAGAAAGAUUCUAAUGCCAUGAAAUGUAUAAUUUAUGCUUGAGCAAAUCUUUUCAUAACAUGUUAAACAUUUCGCGAGUAUUCGGCUAAUAUCCAUAUAAAUAACAGCUGCAAAUUUCAAUCGCAAUUGAAGGCCGAGAAAACGUGUUAUUCAAUAAUUUGAAAAUUAAUGGUAUGGUCCAGCAAGUGAGCUAUAGCAUUCAAUUAAAACAAAUACGUAAACACGUAGCUUAUGAUGUGCACAAGAAGUAUUUGAUUAAAUGACAUUGAAACGAAGUUUGCAUAAUUGUUAAACGUGAAAUCUGUCCGCGAUGUAAAUAGCUAAAAACCAACAGCAACAGCGGACGACCAUAAACUCUCGCGCAGGCAAGAUUUGUGAAAAAAGAAUCCGAUGCCGAAACGUUGCCUGUCCAACAACUAGCCCUGACAAUUUCCAUAGAUCCAGGCCAUUAAAAAUCGAAUUAACGAAAUUACGGAAUAACAGCAGCAGUUACAACAACAAAAACAAACAGCACCCGGCGGCUUCGCUGCUCAGGAUGCAUGCCUCAUCUGCGGCUGCCACCGCUUUAGUGGAGUAUUCCGAUGUCAGUUCAGAGGAUUUCUCCGAUCCAGAGGCAGGCGAACUCGAUUCGGAUGCUAAUGCUCUCAACAAAAAACCAAAGCAAUCUACAGAAUCGUCAAUGCGUUUCGCAAAGAACAAUUUGGAAAAAGCAAAAGCGUCGGGAGCAGCAGCUAGUGGUUAUGAUGGCUACAACAGAAGGCGUGCGGAGGGAACCGAAGAGGAGGAUGUGACAAGACAUGAAAGCAUAAGGCUGGGCAUUGAAGCGGAAUCGUCGCUAUCGAAUAUUCGGGACAGAGGCGAGACCCACGCUUCGGCAUCGAAAAGUAGUUGCUCAAAGGAAGAAAUAUGGGGUCGCGAGUUGUAUAUGUCUAGUGAUACUAUUGACACUGACGAACUGGAGGCCGAAAUGAAACGGCAGAAGCGGAAGAAGCAGAAAAAGGACAAACACAAACACAAAUCGAAGAAGAAAUCGAAAAAACGUAAAAAGGAACGAAAACGAGCGAAAUCCUAUUCAAGCCUAGAUUCCAUGUUGGAUAACGAUAUGAAUACCUUACGCUACACGCCGCCGACUCCGACGAUGGCACGCCUGAAUACCACGCGUACGGUUUCCAGUACCCUCAAAGAAAGUAGUCCCAUAUCGCCGGGCCCAGGACCGGGCACACCGCCAGCUAGGCGUCCUCCCAAUAGUAAUAAUGCCUCCUAUUAUGCUGAUUCGGCGUCGGUGACACCAAGUCCAUCGCUGCAGGUGACCGUACCGAAUAAGCAGGCAAAUAAUCGCCAUAGAUCGCCGCGUUAUGUAGCCACCUCACCGCGCACUCCUCCGCCCUCACAGUAUAGUGCCGGUGGUGCUCGUGAUACGCGAAAUUCUCGCUAUGUGCAGAGUCCGCUUAAGGAGGAUCGUCCCAGUCAUGUACAUGGUCAUGGGCAUGGUCUAACUCAUGGCCAUGGCGCCUAUCAGCCGCGCUAUUCAGGACCUGGGCAAGGUGACGGACGAAAAUUGAAGCGCCUUUCUCCGGAGUUAGACCGUUAUCAUCACCAGCCAAGUACACCGCCCCACAAACGGCGAAAGUUUGGCGAGGGGCGGGAUCGUGAUCUCUCCGUGUCAGUAAGCUCUUUUGAUCAUGGCAGCAGCAGUGGGCGACAACAUCCUGCUAAAUAUGAUCGUUAUAGCCGAGACCGGUAUCCGAGGCGUGCGUCGAGGAGUCCCAGUUUACAGCACUCCCGCAAUCGACAAUCACCAGUGGGAGGUGGUGCCAAUGUAUCGGGUAGCAGUAGUUCAAAUAUGUUCCGGCAUAAGCACAAGUAUCCUUCCCCCUCGCCGCCCUUGCCGACGAGAUCUUCCAAGAGAAGCUCUGGUGGAGGGACUGGUUCUAGUGCGGUUGAUUCGCGCUAUUCGCGAUCUCCUCGAACAAGUUCACGUUCCAGGUACUAUGAAUCUUCGCCUCCAACGCCACCAGGCGGAGUCCCAGGAUCACAGCAUCAUCAUCAUCAUCGACGUGGUGGUGGUUCUACUCCCAAGCUGCGUCAUCGUCCCAGUAGCCGUAAACGAUCGCCAAGCUCAAGUAGCAGCCGCAGCUCAACCUCGCGAUCACCCACUUCAAGGGAAUUGAAAAAUAAACGCGAGGAGUACAUUAAAAAGAUUAGCGAGACAAGCCUUUUCGCUGAGCUGGUAAAAGAUCGACAUAAACGCCAGAAGGCACUCAAGGAGAUCAUUGAACGGCAAGAAGAGAAUAGCAAUAGCAACGGGGCACUGACCAUUAAUGAAAACAGCUCCUCCGUGGAGGUUGAAGCCGCUCACACGCCCCAAACAACAGAUAUGCGAUCGUGCUCCGGUUCGGCUACGACCGCUACACCCAACGGAGUUCUCAGUAGCGGUAAAUCGGAUUUGGAUAUUAACAACAUUCCAAUGCCCAAUAAGGAGAAUGAUCCAGGUGCAAAUUCUGAUGUGCCAGAUACUUCAAUGAUAACGACGACAAUAACGCCUAUCAAGAAUAACCAAAAACCUAAGAGUCUGACGGCAUUGCCCAUGCCGCCGGGUAUGAAUGCUGCCGAUCUAGUGAGGGCCACGGCAACGCCAUCACCACAGGAUAUAUCCAUGACGACCAGCACCACCAUCACCAGUAGUAGUAGCAGCAGCAUCAUUGGCAAAGCCAAACCCGAACAGGAAAAGACUAUUAGCAGCAAUGCUAACAAAAGCCUUCUCAAUCUACCAAUGCCUCCAGUAAUACCGGGCAGCGAGGAACUCAGUGGCGACGAUGAUGUUAUCGACAGUCCCGAAGACUUUGACACGCCCAGUGGCAAUGCGAAUGCAUCUGGCACUGCCGCAGGUGGUGCAACUCGUCGUCGUCCGGUGAUACUCAAUAGGCGGGACUCUCGUAAUAAUGUCCGAGAUUGGGGUGAGAGGUGUGUAGAUGUGUUUGAGGUGAUUGCCCAGAUUGGCGAGGGUACCUAUGGACAGGUAUAUAAAGCUCGAGAUCAUCACACAAACGAUAUGGUCGCUUUGAAAAAAGUGCGACUGGAGCACGAGAAGGAGGGCUUUCCAAUUACGGCUGUGCGUGAAAUUAAAAUCCUGAGGCAAUUGAAUCAUCGCAAUAUAGUCAAUCUGCAUGAAAUCGUUACGGACAAACAAGAUGCUGUCGAGUUUCGCAAAGAUAAGGGCUCUUUUUAUCUGGUAUUCGAAUACAUGGAUCACGAUCUAAUGGGACUCCUUGAGUCCGGCAUGGUCGAUUUCAAUGAGGAAAAUAAUGCUAGUAUCAUGAAGCAGCUAUUAGAUGGUCUUAAUUACUGCCACAAAAAGAACUUUUUGCAUCGCGACAUAAAAUGUUCCAACAUUUUAAUGAACAAUAGGGGCAAAGUGAAACUGGCUGAUUUUGGUUUGGCACGUCUUUACAAUGCCGACGACCGUGAGAGGCCCUAUACGAACAAAGUAAUCACACUGUGGUAUCGGCCGCCGGAGCUUUUGUUGGGUGAAGAGCGUUACGGUCCGUCAAUAGAUGUCUGGUCAUGCGGUUGCAUUUUGGGAGAAUUAUUCUUGAAGCGUCCGCUUUUUCAAGCUAAUGCAGAAAUGGCUCAAUUGGAGACAAUUUCAAAGAUCUGCGGUUCACCCAUUCCAGCGGUGUGGCCAAAUGUAAUCAAAUUGCCGCUCUUUCAUACACUCAAACAGAAGAAAACGCAUCGUCGUCGCCUUCGUGAGGAUUUCGAGUUUAUGCCAGCUUCAGCCCUUGACCUGCUUGAUAAAAUGUUGGAUCUGGAUCCGGAUAAGCGUAUCACAGCCGAGGACGCGCUUCGUUCGCCUUGGUUGAAAAAAAUCAAUCCCGAUGAAAUGCCAACGCCUCAAUUGCCUACGUGGCAAGACUGCCAUGAGCUCUGGAGUAAGAAGCGACGCCGUCAGCUACGAGAGCAACAGGAAUCCUUGCCGCCAGCUGUGAUAACUUCAACAAAGUAUCAACACCAACAUCACGGUGCAGCUAUGGUGGGAGAUGCCUAGCACUUGCUUUAUACUUCAUUUAUCAAUGAUGUAGAAGAGGAAGAGGAAGUGGGAAAGUGUUCCUGGUGGGAUUACUGAAAAUGCAUGUGUAUCUUCACGCAUUGAUAUGAAGAAGCAAAUAUAUAUUCGCUUAAACUAAUUAAAAUGCAAUAAACUUAUUGAUGAUUUGUGCUUUGUUUAACACAUUGGUCAAUAAAAUGCGUAUCGCAGGAUAAAAUUAUAAAGCGUUUCUUUGUUUAUGUGAAACAAGAGCGUACAAUUGUAAAGCAGUUAAAGUUUUGCAUUUUAACAUUAAAUAAAAUUGUUAAAUAGAUAAGUUUACGCAAUAAGAUAGAGUUAAUGGUAUUAAAUAAUUUAUCUAUUCUUAUUGUCCGGAUAAAGCUAUAAAAAAAAUGAUUAUAUUUGUUAAGUAAACUAAAGUAAAUUGUAAAGUAUAAAUGAAUUUAACGAGUAAAAUAUCUACUAAAUUACCGUAA